AUUGGAAUAGCAUUAUCUGUCAAUAGAUUGUGGUUUCAUAGACAUCAAGAAGCACCAACCAGUCCAGUCCAGUCCACUAUGGAGGAGCAUUUCCUGGGGUUAUGGGUGUGCUUUAACACAGGCGCCAGGGGCCAAGGAGGAACCCAGGGGUCAACAGCUCUGCACUAAUCUCCAACAAACUGAUGGAGCUACGCCUGUACGCCGGUACAACUCCCACCCAUUGGAGAAACUGUACAGCCCAGCCUGGUCUCAACACCCUGCCAGGAAUGAACCAAAUACAGUGGGUGUGUGUAUGUGUGCGUGUGCCCACAAAGCCCAGCAGGUAUUUUGAGUGACAGACACCCAUAGCCCGCCCCUGCGUCUCUGCCUCGUCGGGCGGUGAACCCCGACCACAGAAGAACCAGUCAUACCCGAUGAGUCACCCAGCGACCAAUCAGCAGAGAGGCAGGCAAGGUGUUUUCAAAACAUGUUUGAUUUUGAGCAGCAGCAUUUUCGGGGAAGUGGGCUGGCCUAUUAGCCUGGUCUUGUCUGCUGGAGUGCAGAUUGGACUGAAAUACAGAAUGUGUUGUAGGGAUGCCAUUGAGUCAAUGUGUCGGAUAAUGAUAAGAGACUAGUGCUACUCCCACUCCCUGCUCUGCUCUGAGAUGGCCAGUCAUGGAGGGGACAACAGCCCCUGUCUUGAAGCUCUUUAUCCCUCACACGCCAGAGCAAACAAUCAAUGCCCACGUGUGGUUAGCCUUUCCUUUCCUUAUUCCUUGUCUCCACCUCCUCCUAUUCCUUUCUGUUGUCACAUAUAACUUAGGGAUGAGGCAGAUCAUGGCACACAUGCUUCCCCAGGUGACAAGGGGCAUGAUAUUUCAGGGGAGGGGGUUGAAACUGAGCUGAAGACCAGGAAAGGGCCGUGGUGCAGUCAUUUAGCAGCUUGGUUCCUGUUCCAAUGAACUAACUGGUGGUUCUCUGAACAGGGGAGUAGCUCCCUCUCUGGAAGACCCUCCCACUCUCUUCACAGAAUCCAGGAGAGGCCACAGCAACAGACCCAUAUCAAGCAGACAGCCACGGCCACACGGCGACACACCAACUCACGUGAAUUACACCUACCAUUUGAGGAGGGUAUAGAGUUUUCAACUCAAUGCGCGCUAAACAUGGCAGAGACUGUCUGGUGACAUAACUGCUGAGGUAAUGAGGGAAACCAGCCAAGCAGCCAACUCAGCUCUCCACACAGUCUGGUUCACAGCCUAUGCAACAUAAGGACUUCAAGGAUAUUUACAGAAGUUAACGAGGCAAGAACAACAGUCCUGCAGUGCCGGAGAUGGAGGACAAGCUUUCAUAUAUCUAAAGUGUGAGCUGUGUCCGUCCCUUCUCCCUCCCCCCUGGGGCAGCCGCAGACAGCACAUCUGGCCAUUUGAAGUCCUUUGGUUAUCAGCCAAGUGUGUCGCUGUACCUGCAGCCAUCUGUGAAGGGGCUGCCAGCCCUCCGCCAGCCAGCCGGACGACGCUCCGCUUCCCUUCCGUGACCAAGAACGGCCCAUACUCUCUCGCUCCGUCAACCUACACGGUGGGCUCGCUCUCUGUUGUGUUGUAGAGGAAAGAAGACAGAGAACAUGAAAGCCUUCAUUAAAAAUGGCCAUACAUUUUUCACUUUGAAAAGCUCCCAUUGAAACGAAUAGAAGAGGGUGGGCAACUGGGCAGUUAAAAUAUGUGCUGUUCCCUUUGUGCAGUAACUGUACUGUACCCAUCCAGCAAUAACAAUCCUUUAGAUACUGUAGACUGUAGUCUAUACACAAUGUUGAAGAUAUCCUACUGAGCAUACACUGUUUGAAUCAACAUUGUUUCCACAUAAUUUCAAUAAAAUUACACUGA